rnacentral:rRNA from 1 species
GACAGAGGGUGCAAACGUUGCUCGGAAUUACUGGGCGUAAAGCGCGUGUAGGUGGAUUGGUGUGUCAGAUGUGAAAUCCCUGGGCUCAACCCAGGAACUGCACCUGAAACUACCAGUCUUGAGUGGUGGAGAGGGAAGUGGAAUUCCUGGUGUAGAGGUGAAAUUCGUAGAUAUCCGGAGGAACACCGGUGGCGAAGGCGGCUUCCUGGACCGACACUGACGCUGAGGCGCGAAAGCUAGGGGAGCAAACGGG